rnacentral:rRNA from 1 species
GACGAUGAUGCCAGCUUGCUGGUGGAUUAGUGGCGAACGGGUGAGUAACACGUGAGUAACCUGCCCUUGACUCUGGGAUAAGCCUGGGAAACUGGGUCUAAUACCGGAUAUGACCUUCCAUCGCAUGGUGGUUGGUGGAAAGCUUUUGUGGUUUUGGAUGGACUCGCGGCCUAUCAGCUUGUUGGUGGGGUAAUGGCCUACCAAGGCGACGACGGGUAGCCGGCCUGAGAGGGUGACCGGCCACACUGGGACUGAGACACGGCCCAGACUCCUACGGGAGGCAGCAGUGGGGAAUAUUGCACAAUGGGCGAAAGCCUGAUGCAGCGACGCCGCGUGAGGGAUGACGGCCUUCGGGUUGUAAACCUCUUUCAGUAGGGAAGAAGCGUAAGUGACGGUACCUGCAGAAGAAGCGCCGGCUAACUACGUGCCAGCAGCCGCGGUAAUACGUAGGGCGCAAGCGUUAUCCGGAAUUAUUGGGCGUAAAGAGCUCGUAGGCGGUUUGUCGCGUCUGCCGUGAAAGUCCGGGGCUCAACUCCGGAUCUGCGGUGGGUACGGGCAGACUAGAGUGAUGUAGGGGAGACUGGAAUUCCUGGUGUAGCGGUGAAAUGCGCAGAUAUCAGGAGGAACACCGAUGGCGAAGGCAGGUCUCUGGGCAUUAACUGACGCUGAGGAGCGAAAGCAUGGGGAGCGAACAGGAUUAGAUACCCUGGUAGUCCAUGCCGUAAACGUUGGGCACUAGGUGUGGGGGACAUUCCACGUUUUCCGCGCCGUAGCUAACGCAUUAAGUGCCCCGCCUGGGGAGUACGGCCGCAAGGCUAAAACUCAAAGGAAUUGACGGGGGCCCGCACAAGCGGCGGAGCAUGCGGAUUAAUUCGAUGCAACGCGAAGAACCUUACCAAGGCUUGACAUGAACCGGACCGCUGCAGAAAUGUGGUUUCCCCUUUGGGGCUGGUUUACAGGUGGUGCAUGGUUGUCGUCAGCUCGUGUCGUGAGAUGUUGGGUUAAGUCCCGCAACGAGCGCAACCCUCGUUCUAUGUUGCCAGCACGUGAUGGUGGGGACUCAUAGGAGACUGCCGGGGUCAACUCGGAGGAAGGUGGGGACGACGUCAAAUCAUCAUGCCCCUUAUGUCUUGGGCUUCACGCAUGCUACAAUGGCCGGUACAAAGGGUUGCGAUACUGUGAGGUGGAGCUAAUCCCAAAAAGCCGGUCUCAGUUCGGAUUGGGGUCUGCAACUCGACCCCAUGAAGUCGGAGUCGCUAGUAAUCGCAGAUCAGCAACGCUGCGGUGAAUACGUUCCCGGGCCUUGUACACACCGCCCGUCAAGUCACGAAAGUUGGUAACACCCGAAGCCGGUGGCCUAACCCC